rnacentral:pre_miRNA from 9 species
UCUCGAUAGCGUAAAAGUUAACUCUAUUUUGUAUGGAGUUGGAACGUUUGCCUAUGUUUGCCGCUAGGGGCACUGUUUCAGCUGCAUACUAAUUUCAGGUAACUCUUACGCUAUCGA